rnacentral:rRNA from 1 species
GGUUAAGCGACUAAGCGUACACGGUGGAUGCCCUGGCAGUCAGAGGCGAUGAAGGACGUGCUAAUCUGCGAAAAGCGUCGGUAAGGUGAUAUGAACCGUUAUAACCGGCGAUGUCCGAAUGGGGAAACCCAGUGUGUUCCGACACACUAUCAUUAACUGAAUCCAUAGGUUAAUGAGGCGAACCGGGGGAACUGAAACAUCUAAGUACCCCGAGGAAAAGAAAUCAACCGAGAUUCCCCCAGUAGCGGCGAGCGAACGGGGAGGAGCCCAGAGCCUGAAUCAGUGUGUGUGUUAGUGGAAGCGUCUGGAAAGGCGCGCGAUACAGGGUGACAGCCCCGUACACAAAAAUGCACAUAUUGUGAGCUCGAUGAGUAGGGCGGGACACGUGGUAUCCUGUCUGAAUAUGGGGGGACCAUCCUCCAAGGCUAAAUACUCCUGACUGACCGAUAGUGAACCAGUACCGUGAGGGAAAGGCGAAAAGAACCCCGGCGAGGGGAGUGAAAAAGAACCUGAAACCGUGUACGUACAAGCAGUGGGAGCCUCUUUAUGGGGUGACUGCGUACCUUUUGUAUAAUGGGUCAGCGACUUAUAUUCUGUAGCAAGGUUAACCGAAUAGGGGAGCCGGAGGGAAACCGAGUCUUAACUGGGCGUUAAGUUGCAGGGUAUAGACCCGAAACCCGGUGAUCUAGCCAUGGGCAGGUUGAAGGUUGGGUAACACUAACUGGAGGACCGAACCGACUAAUGUUGAAAAAUUAGCGGAUGACUUGUGGCUGGGGGUGAAAGGCCAAUCAAACCGGGAGAUAGCUGGUUCUCCCCGAAAGCUAUUUAGGUAGCGCCUCGUGAAUUCAUCUCCGGGGGUAGAGCACUGUUUCGGCAAGGGGGUCAUCCCGACUUACCAACCCGAUGCAAACUGCGAAUACCGGAGAAUGUUAUCACGGGAGACACACGGCGGGUGCUAACGUCCGUCGUGAAGAGGGAAACAACCCAGACCGCCAGCUAAGGUCCCAAAGUCAUGGUUAAGUGGGAAACGAUGUGGGAAGGCCCAGACAGCCAGGAUGUUGGCUUAGAAGCAGCCAUCAUUUAAAGAAAGCGUAAUAGCUCACUGGUCGAGUCGGCCUGCGCGGAAGAUGUAACGGGGCUAAACCAUGCACCGAAGCUGCGGCAGCGACGCUGAUGCGUUGUUGGGUAGGGGAGCGUUCUGUAAGCCUGUGAAGGUGUGCUGUGAGGCAUGCUGGAGGUAUCAGAAGUGCGAAUGCUGACAUAAGUAACGAUAAAGCGGGUGAAAAGCCCGCUCGCCGGAAGACCAAGGGUUCCUGUCCAACGUUAAUCGGGGCAGGGUGAGUCGACCCCUAAGGCGAGGCCGAAAGGCGUAGUCGAUGGGAAACAGGUUAAUAUUCCUGUACUUGGUGUUACUGCGAAGGGGGGACGGAGAAGGCUAUGUUGGCCGGGCGACGGUUGUCCCGGUUUAAGCGUGUAGGCUGAUUUUCCAGGCAAAUCCGGAGAAUCAAGGCUGAGGCGUGAUGACGAGGCACUACGGUGCUGAAGCAACAAAUGCCCUGCUUCCAGGAAAAGCCUCUAAGCAUCAGGUAACAUCAAAUCGUACCCCAAACCGACACAGGUGGUCAGGUAGAGAAUACCAAGGCGCUUGAGAGAACUCGGGUGAAGGAACUAGGCAAAAUGGUGCCGUAACUUCGGGAGAAGGCACGCUGAUAUGUAGGUGAAGCGACUUGCUCGUGGAGCUGAAAUCAGUCGAAGAUACCAGCUGGCUGCAACUGUUUAUUAAAAACACAGCACUGUGCAAACACGAAAGUGGACGUAUACGGUGUGACGCCUGCCCGGUGCCGGAAGGUUAAUUGAUGGGGUCAGCGCAAGCGAAGCUCUUGAUCGAAGCCCCGGUAAACGGCGGCCGUAACUAUAACGGUCCUAAGGUAGCGAAAUUCCUUGUCGGGUAAGUUCCGACCUGCACGAAUGGCGUAAUGAUGGCCAGGCUGUCUCCACCCGAGACUCAGUGAAAUUGAACUCGCUGUGAAGAUGCAGUGUACCCGCGGCAAGACGGAAAGACCCCGUGAACCUUUACUAUAGCUUGACACUGAACACUGGUCCUUGAUGUGUAGGAUAGGUGGGAGGCUUUGAAGUGUGGACGCCAGUCUGCAUGGAGCCGUCCUUGAAAUACCACCCUUUAAUGGCUGGUGUUCUAACGUUGGCCCCUUACCGGGGUUGCGGACAGUGUCUGGUGGGUAGUUUGACUGGGGCGGUCUCCUCCUAAAGAGUAACGGAGGAGCACGAAGGUUGGCUAAUCCUGGUCGGACAUCAGGAGGUUAGUGCAAUGGCAUAAGCCAGCUUGACUGCGAGCGUGACGGCGCGAGCAGGUGCGAAAGCAGGUCAUAGUGAUCCGGUGGUUCUGAAUGGAAGGGCCAUCGCUCAACGGAUAAAAGGUACUCCGGGGAUAACAGGCUGAUACCGCCCAAGAGUUCAUAUCGACGGCGGUGUUUGGCACCUCGAUGUCGGCUCAUCACAUCCUGGGGCUGAAGUAGGUCCCAAGGGUAUGGCUGUUCGCCAUUUAAAGUGGUACGCGAGCUGGGUUUAGAACGUCGUGAGACAGUUCGGUCCCUAUCUGCCGUGGGCGCUGGAGAACUGAGGGGGGCUGCUCCUAGUACGAGAGGACCGGAGUGGACGCAUCACUGGUGUUCGGGUUGUCAUGCCAAUGGCACUGCCCGGUAGCUAAAUGCGGAAGAGAUAAGUGCUGAAAGCAUCUAAGCACGAAACUUGCCCCGAGAUGAGUUCUCCCUGAGACUUUAAGUCUCCUGAAGGAACGUUGAAGACGACGACGUUGAUAGGCCGGGUGUGUAAGCGCAGCGAUGCGUUGAGCUAACCGGUACUAAUGAACCGUGAGGCUUAACCUU